CUCAUGCUGAGUGGAACUACAGAGAUUCCGAAUCGCUCUCAGAGACACGCACCACCGGAUGCGAGAGGAAUGGUCCCCUCAUGUCCCUAUUUAAUUUGCCACUCUGACACCUGCAAAAAUCAGAUGGAUCAUGGCAGAUGGCAUAGACUGCUGAGAACAUAACCACAAGGGAGCCCCAACCUCAGCUGCCAGGCUCCUGUUGCACUUAUCAGGCAGCUAUUGAUCCGGUGGAUUUACCAGGAAGAAUGAUCAAAAGCCAUUCACGUUCACCUGGAAUGAAUAACAGUACAUUCAUGAUCUUGACCCAGCGGCAUGGUAACAUCCUUGUGCUAAUGGCAAACUGUUUACCUGGAACUUCUGCAGAGCCUCCUAGUGGUCCCUUCCCCUGGUGGCAUCACUUUAAUUGGACCUGGGGAGCAGAAAAUAGCUUCGUGGGACAUGCCCUUGUGAAGCAUAUUACAGGCCAGGGGUUGGGAGGUUAACUCUAUAAAGAACCAGGCUCCUGUCAAAUUGGUGAUGGGUUUAGAAUUUCAGAAAUUUGUGAUGUGCUAAGACGUGCCCAAAGAAUGGGCUUGUACCUUUUACCACUAAGAAAAGCAUAAUGCCUGGCAGUCCUUUUUGGAUUUGGAGAAAGCACGCAGCUCAUUUAGGAAUACAGCUUUGAUUUAUUUAUCAGUUGAUAGUUGACUCUGAAGAGAGUAGUUUUGAGUGAAGCUUUGUGGCAGAUUUAAGUUGUGGAAUAAGCAUCCUUGUCCCUGAGAUCAUAUAAUUCAUCAGAUCCCAUGUGCUAGAGGUAUUUGUGGAAGAUAAGAUAGUUGUUUGGAGUCUUUUGUGAAUCUCGGAAAAAGAAUCACAGCACAGACUCCUGAGGCUUGGAACAAGGCUAUGCCAUCUGAAGCAGGGUGGUAUUACCAUUCCAAAACACAGAUCCGGGAUGCUGUUAGACGCUAGUAGAGAGUGACCUCCUAACCGAGGGAUAUUAGGUGACUGGGCAACUGGGGCUACUCACCUUGAUCUUGAAUUCAAGCAAGUUCAAGAGAGCAUAAGUAAUGGAGUUGCUGUGGCCCAAUAGGUUAAGAAUUUGACUGCAACAGCUCGGGUUGUUGUGAAGGCACGGGUUCAAUCCCCUUGUGGGUCAAUGGGUUAAAGGAUCCAGCAUUGCGCAUUGCCACAGCGGUGGAGUAGGUCACAACUGCAGCUCAAGUUCAAUCCCUGGCCCGGGAACUUCUAUAUGCCUCAGGGGCAGCCAUUAAAAAAGAGAAUGAGCGAGAGAGAGAGAGAAUAAGUUAUAUGAACAGGUGUUACAAACCCUUGCUUUUCUAACUUCCAUCAGUGCCUCAUCUUCAGUGAGCUAACUGAAAAGGAACAGCUAACAAAGAAGGAAAAGCUGAGGCUUGGUAUGUGGGUAGGGUGACUUGAUUCGUUUGUAAGAUGAAAAUGGGCUGCUGUUGCACUACCGCUCAUCCCAGAGAAGCCCAAAAAGACUGUGCUGUGGGGAAGUCCUGCAUGGUUCACUUUACCAUCAGUUUUCUAUGAAGACAGAAAUGGCCUUAGGUUAAGUAAGUAUACACAGAUUCCAGAGCAGUGGCUGGUUAACUGUGGGCCUGUCCCAGAUAAGACUGGAAGAGUGGAGACAAGGAGUUAUAAGGAAGAAUCAUGUAGAUGGACCUUCAGAAAUGAACAAAGAAGUUCCCAUUGUGGCACAGCAGAAAUGAACCUGACGAGUAUCCAUGAGGAUGUGGGUACGAUCCCUGUCCUCGCCCAGUGGGUUAAGGAUCCCGAGUUGCUGUGCUGUGGCAUAGACCAGCAGCUGUAGCUCCAAUUUGACCCCUAGCCUGGGAACUUCCACAUGCUGUGUGUGUGGCCCAAAAAGGGGGCGGGGAGGAGAAAAAGGAAAGAAAAGAAAAAGAAGGAAGGCGUAAACACAAGGUAUGCAGAUCUUUAUGCUCCAUAGCAGUGCCACCAGAGACCGUCCACCAUAGAGGAGGUGUUGGACAAGCAGGUGACAUAAAUGAGUCACCCUCUGAAGUCAGCCAGCUUCUUUCCUCAGCUGCCCCAAUGCUGAACAGAAUAACCUCAGUGGAAGGGAUGCAGGAUGACAGAGGAGAGAUAAACAUUAAAGAAACAAUUGCACAAAGAAUUAUUUAAUAAUGAUGAUCAGUCCUAAAGGAAACAAAUGUAAGUUACUAUAAAUGCGCAAAACAGGGAAUCAACCCUAUUCUGGGGGUAUCGAGAUUGCUUCCCUAGAAUAUAAGACCUGAAAGUUGAGCAGGAGGUCUCUAGACAAAGAGGAGCCAGGCAAGAAAGAAAGGGCCUAGCAGACAAUGUGUGGGAAGGCCCUCAGAUGCGAGGAUGUUUGAUACACCCGAGCAGGGAAAAAAGACCAAUUGGCUAGCGCGCCAUAGGAGGCUGAGAGAGGAGGAGAGGCGGGGCGAGGAGAUAAGGAGGGCCCAGGAGAGCAGGGCCUUUCAGUCCACGGUCCAGGAUCCUUUGUUGCUGCUGCUGCCCUUGCUGUUGUUGUUAUAAUAGCUCUUUGCCCUUCUCUCUUUCCUCAGCUACCCCCAUUCAACUUUCAGGUCUUACUUCUUUAAGAAACACUCCCUGGUCCCCCGGAUUAUUACUGGUUGUUGAUGUGUGUGUUUAUUUUAAGAGCAGUGGAAACCAGUGGGAAAGGACUAGGGUAAAGAUAAGAAUUUGGUGAUGAUUGGCACAUAGAUGAUAUAUGUAGAAUAAAAGGAAAUGAAAGCCUGGCACCAAACCAAUAAGGGGGAAAUUCUUCCUUCAGAGAAAUGAAGAAGGAACAACCUGGGAAGUAGGAAGAAAUAAAGGAGAAGAAUAUAGUCUCCCCAAGUCAAGAGAAAAGACAUUUUCAAAAAGAAUGCUUUCAACUAUGUUAAAAGUUGAAGAGAACAUCAAAGUUAAGAUAAGGCUAAUGGACAAAAUGUGUAUUUGAUGAAGCAACAGGAGAAAUCACACCAAGAGAAAUUGGCAAAUGCCAAAAUCUAGGUAUAAUUGUAAUAAAAUAAUUAUUUUGUUUUGUUGAUUGUCUAGACUUAAAGUGAUAGAGAAAAUGUUCAUGAUGCAGACUAAACUUAAAACUUUGUCAAUGUCUAUGGCCAUUGCACGGUGCAUAACGAAUAAUUGAGGGUAAAAAUAUUGAGCACGUAUUCUUUCUAUUUUUAAAAAAUCAUUGUCCUAUUCAGCAAAAAGCUGCUCACAUCAUUAACUCUCAAGCAAAUUCCAACACACAUUCUCAAUCUCACUUCACUCUCAUCUUAUUCCUUCACAGUAAAUGAAAAUAUCAGUCAGCAUUCAUGUGGAAAUUGUACAUUUCUCUCAAUGCAACCAUUUGUUAGUAACAGAUACAAGCAUCGAUGAAAAUAUUUGGUGAGAAUCAAUGGCUAUAGAGAAUGUACAGUAAAAAGUAUCAAAUAUCUUAUUACUAUUUAUAAACUGUGUGCCACACAGGCUUCAUAUCAAAAAAAAUUUUUUUAGUAAACAUAGAGGUAUACAUACAUGCUUUCCUUUUACCAGAGAGUCAACUGUUAUACAUUUACCAGCAUACCACUAUCCCUAACGAUCACCAGUAAGCCUUGGAAAAAUGCUCAAGAGAUACUUAAAUAAAUUAAAAACAAAUUCAAAUAUGACUUUGAAAUAAAAAGAGGUAUCACAAAAAUGAAAAGAAAGGAAAGGUAAUGCAAAUUAUCUACCAUAACAUGGUUCCUGUGGAGAGUCUAAAUAGUUGACUUAAAAUUUUGGAACAAAUACCAUCAGAAAUAAUUCCAAAAGGAGUUCCCUUGUGGUGCAGUGGAUUAAGGAUCCAGCAUUGUCACUGCAGUGGCUCGAGUUGCUGGUGUGGCUUGGGGUGGAUCCCUGGCCUGGGACUUCUGCAUGCCUUGGGCAUGGUUUUAAGACAAGGAAAAGAAAAAGAAAUAGCUGCAAAACCAGGAAGUCUGAAUCGUCUCUGCACUGGUGAUUCUAUAAAUUGGUUUGGCUACUCUAACCUUAACAUACAACUUCUAGAACCUUCUGCUAAAUAUAUCUCACUUUACUGAAAAUGUCUUUUCCCCUCUCAGUUAAAUAAAGAGGAAAUAUAUUUUGCAAAGAAAACAAGGAAAUUAACACUAAACAAAGGAAUAUGGUGGUAGUUUUAACGAUGUCCACAAAUGCUUUGAUGCUCUUUCCUUCCAGGCCUAUUUACACUGUUACUAAAUAUGGUCUUGACUUCAUAAGUCACCCCUAAUAACUAGACUAUUUGGUAGAAAUGCCAGAGUGUAUCUUAUGAAAAUACUGAAAGAGAGUGCAGCUUGCAUCUUUCUCCCUUGAAUCAUUCCCUCUGGACAAGGCUGGUGCCCAUAUGCCACAGGACACUCACACAGUCGUGUGAAAAGAUCCACAGGCCGGAGGAACUUAAGCCUCCUUCCAGCAGUCAGUAUUCACUCUCCAGCCGUGUGAAUGAAC
rnacentral:lncRNA from 1 species